rnacentral:misc_RNA from 1 species
GUUGGUUUUGGCUUCGGAGGAGGCAGCUAGGGUUGAGCUACAAGCCGCUGAGGAAUAUGGGUAUGGUUAUGGGUAUAGGUAUGAGUCGCUGAAGGAGGAGGAUGAGGUGUUUGUUGAAACACCGGCAUCAUCAGCAUCGCCGCCACCACCACCAACAAUUUCAACAUCAUAUUCUGGUUCACGGCAAUUGCAGUACCAAUGUGCGGUUUGCUCGUCUCCAACCUCUACUCGGUGCUCCCAAUGUAAAGCAGUUCGCUACUGCUCUGGCAAAUGUCAAAUCCUUCAUUGGAGACAAGGUCACAAGGAUGAAUGCCGUCCAGUUAGCAACUUGGAUCACCUGAAUGAUGCUGAGGCAAAAUCUCAUCUGAAGGCGUAUAAGCAGGAACCCGAUGGAAGUCAUCUUAAGAGCACUGAGGUUGAAGGGAGACGUUCUUCAGAAUCAGGCAUUGCUUCCCCAGAGGAAGCUGCACUUUUGAGAUCCAAAUACUUUGCAACAUCUGAUGGAGAGCAUGACACAGGUGGACAGAGUCUGACAGAUUCAAAAUGUCUCAAUUUGAACUCCAGUUUCGUGCUUCAUUCAUCUUCAUGUGAACAUUUGGACCUGUCUACUUCAAGUGGAUCUUCUGUUGAUCAUUCUGCAUCUGAUUCAAAUGACUCUGAUGCUUCUGACAGUCACAGGUCUGCUGUUGAUGAUACAGUUAAGAUUCAGACUAAUCAUUCCAAGGUAGAAAGAUUUAAGCCAUCCUACACAGAGCAACCCCAACUGGUACAAACUGCAGAUAAUGAUUCCACGUCUGGAAAAUAUAAUCACACCAAGCCUAGCAUUCAUGGGGACGCACAGUCUAAAUAUUGGACUUCAAGUUCAGCUACCGAUGACUCCAGUGAAUCUUCAUUGACAGCGCCGUCUACACCCUCAUCUGGUUUUUGGGAAGGACCAGUUCCUUAUACUAGAUCUAGGAUUGGUUCACUUGAUGGUAUUGCAGAUCCUCCUUCCAAAGAUGCUUGUGACAUCAAGAUUUCAGACUCUCAAUCAACUUCAUGUCACCCCCCUGAAUUUGCUAUACCUCUUUUACCUAAAGCAGGCGAACAAGGAUCGAACUCAAAAAAGAAUCUGGAAAAUCCAACUCCAAUUAUAGUGGAAGUGCCGAAACCAGUCAAUCGAGUUGAAUCGAGAAUAGAAAUUAAAGACCAGAAAGAAAGUAGUAGGUCAUCAGCUUCGCGGUCUGUAACUUUGGAUCAGCUUGAUGUGCAUG